AGAGUUUGAUCAUGGCUCAGAUUGAACGCUGGCGGCAGGCCUAACACAUGCAAGUCGAACGGUAACAGGAAACAGCUUGCUGUUUCGCUGACGAGUGGCGGACGGGUGAGUAAUGUCUGGGAAACUGCCUGAUGGAGGGGGAUAACUACUGGAAACGGUAGCUAAUACCGCAUAACGUCGCAAGACCAAAGAGGGGGACCUUCGGGCCUCUUGCCAUCGGAUGUGCCCAGAUGGGAUUAGCUUGUUGGUGGGGUAACGGCUCACCAAGGCGACGAUCCCUAGCUGGUCUGAGAGGAUGACCAGCCACACUGGAACUGAGACACGGUCCAGACUCCUACGGGAGGCAGCAGUGGGGAAUAUUGCACAAUGGGCGCAAGCCUGAUGCAGCCAUGCCGCGUGUAUGAAGAAGGCCUUCGGGUUGUAAAGUACUUUCAGCGGGGAGGAAGGGAGUAAAGUUAAUACCUUUGCUCAUUGACGUUACCCGCAGAAGAAGCACCGGCUAACUCCGUGCCAGCAGCCGCGGUAAUACGGAGGGUGCAAGCGUUAAUCGGAAUUACUGGGCGUAAAGCGCACGCAGGCGGUUUGUUAAGUCAGAUGUGAAAUCCCCGGGCUCAACCUGGGAACUGCAUCUGAUACUGGCAAGCUUGAGUCUCGUAGAGGGGGGUAGAAUUCCAGGUGUAGCGGUGAAAUGCGUAGAGAUCUGGAGGAAUACCGGUGGCGAAGGCGGCCCCCUGGACGAAGACUGACGCUCAGGUGCGAAAGCGUGGGGAGCAAACAGGAUUAGAUACCCUGGUAGUCCACGCCGUAAACGAUGUCGACUUGGAGGUUGNACUGCUCUUUAACAAUUUAUCAGACAAUCUGUGUGGGCACUCGAAGAUACGGAUUCUUAACGUCGCAAGACGAAAAAUGAAUACCAAGUCUCAAGAGUGAACACGUAAUUCAUUACGAAGUUUAAUUCUUUGAGCAUCAAACUUUU
rnacentral:rRNA from 1 species